rnacentral:rRNA from 1 species
UACAGAGGUCCCGAGCGUUGUUCGGAUUCAUUGGGCGUAAAGGGUGCGUAGGCGGUCUGCUAAGUUUGGUGUGAAAUCCCGGGGCUCAACCCUGGAAUUGCAUUGAAUACUGGUGGACUAGAGUACUGGAGAGGAAACUGGAAUUUACGGUGUAGCAGUGAAAUGCGUAGAGAUCGUAAGGAAGACCAGUGGCGAAGGCGAGUUUCUGGACAGUAACUGACGCUGAGGCACGAAGGCCAGGGGGAGCAAACGGG